rnacentral:rRNA from 1 species
CAAAAUGCGAUACUUGGUGUGAAUUGCAGNAUCCCGUGAACCAUCGAGUUUUUGAACGCAAGUUGCGCCCAAAGCCAUUCGGCUGAGGGCACGUCUGCCUGGGCGUCACGC